rnacentral:rRNA from 1 species
CCGCAACGAGCGCAACCCUUAUCCUUUGUUGCCAGCGGUCAGGACGGGAACUCAAAGGAGACUGCCAGUGAUAAACUGGAGGAAGGUGGGGAUGACGUCAAGUCAUCAUGGCCCUUACGAGUAGGGCUACACACGUGCUACAAUGGCGCAUACAAAGAGAAGCGACCUCGCGAGAGCAAGCGGACCUCAUAAAGUGCGUCGUAGUCCGGAUUGGAGUCUGCAACUCGACUCCAUGAAGUCGGAAUCGCUAGUAAUCGUGGAUCAGAAUGCCACGGUGAAUACGUUCCCGGGCCUUGUACACACCGCCCGUCACACCAUGGGAGUGGGUUGCAAAAGAAGUAGGUAGCUUAACCUUCGGGAGGGCGCUUACCACUUUGUGAUUCAUGACUGGGGUGAAGUCGUAACAAGGUAACCGUAGGGGAACCUGCGGUUGGAUCACCUCCUUACCUUAAAGAA